ACUGAAACUCUUGUAUAACUCUGUACUUCAUUGGAGUGGCUUUACUGCUCCUUACAACCUGACUGGUAGAUUUCAUACAUAAGGCGCACUGACGAUUUUUGAGGGCAUUUUAAGGAUUUUAAGUGACAUAUAGUGCAAAAAAUAUACUUUAUACUCUUUUUAAUACUUUUUUAUUUCAGAAAACUUUCAGAAGAAAAAACAUAUGAGCAGAUGACUUUUGCUCUCAUAGCAUACCAAAGGUUAAAUCAGUCACUGAAUGUGAGGACACUAGAAGCUGCCAGCCAUCAGUUCAGCACUUUUUGAACUUGAUUAUCUCACUGUGGUUAAUGAGAAAGUCUUUGGAUCAGGCACAAGACUUUUUGUAACAGGUGAAAAAACGGAGCCUCCUAAACUGUCGGCGUUCCCAGUGUCUCGAUCCGGAGAUGGGAGGAGUGUGCUGCUGUGUCAGGCCAGAGACAUGUAUCCAGACCUGGUGAAGUUCAUGUGGAAGGAUCAAGCUGGGAAUGAGGUGAAGCUGUCAGACACAGAGGAGCUGCUGGAGCAGAGAGAAGAGGGUCAGGAGGUCAGAGUGACCAGCAUGCUCAUCAUAGACCAACAGAAAGCACGAUCUAACACCUUCACCUGCUCCGUCCAACACGACAGAAGUGCUAAUAAUGACCUGAAGAGUGUGGUGAUCCCUGCAGGAAACUCAGAGGACGAGACAAAACCUGAGAUUAACCCAAAUCCUGUCCCAAUCCCAACCUGUCCCCCUCCAAAAGAAGAAGAAGAAGAAGAAGAAAAAGAAGAAGAUGAAGAAAAAGAAGUAGAAAACUAUGGUAUAAGUAAGUAGAAUAAUAUAACUAUUUCUGUUUCUGAGGGUCAUUUCCCAAAAUGUUUGUAAGUUUCUUUCAAGGUUGUGAGGUAAUUUCUAAGUUUUUUUGUUGUCUGUUGUUCUGCAGAUUCAGCUGAGUUGAUCCGUAAGCUGUAUCUGUGCAGUGUGAUGUAUUUGAUGGCGCUUGUGAAGAACGUGGUGUAUUUCCUCGCUGUGUGUGUCCUGCUGUACAAGAGGAGAGCUGGAAAAGUGAACCAAAAAUGAGUUUCAUAAAACAACAAAUAUAUUGUGCAUCAUUUACACAAAGUGACAAAAUUUUCAUUAUAUUCUCUUGUCAGUCUUAGACAAAAAAUGUAAUAUGUUAAUCACGUUUUGUUCCUUUUAAAAAUCAGCUAUGCUAUUUUUUUGUUGUUUAAAUAAAGACGCUGUACUAAUGGUGUAUCA
rnacentral:lncRNA from 1 species